rnacentral:sRNA from 1 species
UUGGCCAUGUAAAAAUAAAAAGAGCAUAUCAAAAUAAUAUUUGGUUUUUUUUACGCGCGCCAA